rnacentral:lncRNA from 10 species
AUGUACAUAUACCUCUUUCAGGAUAUACACGUGAUAAAAGCACACAUUAAACCAUUGCCAGUUCAAACAACACUUCACAUGAAUUUGAAAGAAAGCCUAGACAAGAAGCAGAAUUGGAAGAGAAUAAUAAAAGCUAAAGUUUAUUGGGCACUUUCUCAUGCUCUAAGCCAUCAAAUAUCAGACAAUAAAAAGAAAUCUAAUGCAUUCCUAAAAAGAAACUGACUUCAGUUGAGAAUAACUGGGAAGCUGAAUAUGACUAGAAUGGAAAUGCUAUUAUUUCCAUAUGCCAGAGAAUAUUAUUCAAUUAACAUAAAAAUAACAAGGAGAUAACAAUAUGCCUUGUUGAAGUGAGUGCAAACUUUCCCAUGCUUUAUUUGAUCUAUCUGCUGAAUAUGACUGUGGCCUUUUCCUGUUUUUGUUUCUCUAAAAAAACCGUCUUCUAAUAACAACACACCAGCAAGAGCAAAAACCUCCUUCGUUAGGAGUCGGCUAACAUGAUGUAAGAACAUGAAGAGACACAACUCGGUCCAAAUCCAGCCUCCAUCAUUGACAAGCUGCUUGAUGAUAGAGGAGUCUUUCUAAACUUCCUGGCAUCCUCAGUCUCUCUCUCUCUUUUGUUAAAAUCAGUAGAGAUAAUAAUGCAUAUGAUUGUUUUAAAAAUCGGGAAAACUACCUAAAAUAUUAUAUUCCCCUCACUUCCUUUAAAAAAUAGACCUUAUUUAGUUCUAGGUGUUGAUAGGCUACCAGAUAUUAGCUAAUUCCUUUAAACUGGGUGUCUAUAAUAGAUUUAAUUUAAUUACACACACACACACACACACACACACACACACAUAUAUUAAAGAAAACAUUAAAGUUGCUGUUGUACUUUUAUUAGAUUGUAUGCUAUAUUUUCUAGCUAGAUCAAAGGAUACAUUAUUCUCUUAGUUGCAAGUUUUUCAUUGCAACAAAGGCAGA